GAGGGCCAGAUUGAAACGGUCCGACGCACUUCACUUGCAAUGCAGAUCAUCAUUUCUGGACAGCUUUCUACUUACUGCUGUGGACAUGAAAGGAUCGUCCUAGGCUUGCCCAUGCUGAUGGGCUGCACCACAGCAGUACUGGAGCUGAAUUCCUGUUAGAAAACAUCUUCAGGAUGCUUUGACGAGGACACCCCCAAUGUGAAGCAGUGGACAACUGAAGAUGUUGCUGGCUGUUAUUGCUAGACAUUAUUUAAAUUUGAUUGUGUGC